GACGAACGCUGGCGGCGUGCUUAACACAUGCAAGUCGAACGGUGAAGCCCUUCGGGGUGGAUCAGUGGCGAACGGGUGAGUAACACGUGAGCAACCUGCCCCUGGCUCUGGGACAACCACUGGAAACGGUGGCUAAUACCGGAUACGACCCGCCUCGGCAUCGAGUGUGGGUGGAAAGUUUUUCGGCUGUGGAUGGGCUCGCGGCCUAUCAGCUUGUUGGUGAGGUGAAGGCUCACCAAGGCGACGACGGGUAGCCGGCCUGAGAGGGCGACCGGCCACACUGGGACUGAGACACGGCCCAGACUCCUACGGGAGGCAGCAGUGGGGAAUAUUGCACAAUGGGCGAAAGCCUGAUGCAGCGACGCCGCGUGAGGGAUGACGGCCUUCGGGUUGUAAACCUCUUUCAGCUCCGAAGAAGCGAAAGUGACGGUAGGAGCAGAAGAAGCACCGGCUAACUACGUG
rnacentral:rRNA from 1 species